UACGUAGGGGGCAAGCGUUGUCCGGAAUCAUUGGGCGUAAAGAGCGUGUAGGCGGCCAGAUAAGUCCGCUGUGAAAACUCGAGGCUCAACUUCGAGCUGUCGGCGGAAACCAUCUGGCUAGAGUCCGGAAGAGGAGAGUGGAAUUCCUGGUGUAGCGGUGGAAUGCGCAGAUAUCAGGAGGAACACCGGUGGCGAAGGCGGGUCUCUGGGCCGAUACUGACGCUGAGGAGCGAAAGCGUGGGGAGCGAACAGG
rnacentral:rRNA from 1 species